AUGGCCACAACCAUACUACCUGAUGACCUGGUGGUGGAGAUCCUGUCUCGGCUGCCACUGAAGUCCUUUUGCCGUUUCAGAUGUGUCUGCAAGUCUUGGCUUGCCUUCUCAUCUGAUCCGCACUACCGCAAGAAGCUCCCAAGAACUCCCUCCGGUCUCCUGUACCAAAAAAAUGAGCAUGGCAAUGCCAUCCAUUUCGUGGGCCUUCCCUCAGGUGACAGGGAUAUUGACACAACACUUAGCUUUGUGCCAUGCUAUGAGCAUCCCUUGGAGCUUAAGGGUUGCAGCAAUGGCCUGCUUAUGUGUUAUCAUGGUGGUACAGGCUCUAAAGAAAUUUCCGACGCCAUUGUGUGCAAUCCAGCAACUCAAGAGUGGAUGGCACUUCCAAAUACUGAACCUGGACCAGCCGUCUCUUAUGCUGAUCUCAAGUUGUGUUUUGAUCCAUUAUGGUCUCAACACUUCUAUGUCUUCCAAUUUGAGACGACUCCAAAUGGUGGAUAUGACACCGAAGUUAAGGUAUUUUUCUCUGAGGAUUCGACAUGGUCUAAUUGUCUAUGGGAAACUUCAGAUAUACUUGGUGGUGAUUCACUAUUCUUAAAUGGGGUGUUGUAUGUGGAUCACUUAUGGGGGCAUUACCUUCUGGCACUCGAUGCACCUGACACAUGCACACAAUUGCUCAAUCAUAGGAUCCUUCAGCUGCCUGGAUUUCCAAAUGGACCAGAACAGAGGUUUUAUUGCUUUGAUGGCUGUCUUGGCCAGUCAUCUGGGGUCUUAUGCUACGCACAACAAGAAUUGGAUGGCUGCAUCAUCCGAAUUUGGAGUUUGGAAGGAUCUGAUAGGUGGGUGGUGAAGCAUCGUCUAAAUAUGAACAACGUAUUUGGGAGGGACAUAAUGCUCCGUGCUAACAAUGAAGGAUUAUGGUAUUUUGAUUAUGAAAUCCUGGCAUUUGACUUGGAGAGAGAGCUAGUUUUCGUUGCUGACACGAUUGCUGAUAAUAAGAUCAUCUCAUAUAGCAUCAGUACUGGAAAGGGCUCGCAGAUUCUAAACAUUCCAAGGUUCGUUGACCUAUAUCGAAGUCGACUCUACGUGCCUUACUAUGGCAAGUUUCCAGCUUCUGUGCUUCAAGGAGCUCAAGACAAAUGUUAG
rnacentral:rRNA from 1 species